AUUGAACGCUGGCGGCAUGCUUUACACAUGCAAGUCGAACGGUAACAGGUUAAGCUGACGAGUGGCGAACGGGUGAGUAAUGCAUCGGAACGUGCCCGAUCGUGGGGGAUAACGCAGCGAAAGCUGCGCUAAUACCGCAUACGAUCUGAGGAUGAAAGCGGGGGACCGUAAGGCCUCGCGCGAUCGGAGCGGCCGAUGUCAGAUUAGGUAGUUGGUGGGGUAAAGGCCUACCAAGCCGACGAUCUGUAGCUGGUCUGAGAGGACGACCAGCCACACUGGGACUGAGACACGGCCCAGACUCCUACGGGAGGCAGCAGUGGGGAAUUUUGGACAAUGGGCGCAAGCCUGAUCCAGCCAUGCCGCGGGCGGGAAGAAGGCCUUCGGGUUGUAAACCGCUUUUGUCAGGGAACGAAACGGUCCUGGUUAAUACCUGGGGCUAAUGACGGUACCGUAAGAAUAAGCACCGGCUAACUACGUGCCAGCCGCCGCAGUAAUAC
rnacentral:rRNA from 1 species